GAACGCUGGCGGCGUGCCUAACACAUGUAAGUCGCACGGGACUGGAGGGCAACUUCUAGUUCAGCGGCAGACGGGUGCGUAACACGUGAGAAACUUGUCCAACGGCGGGGGAUAGCCGGCCCAACGGCCGGGUAAUACCGCGUACGAUCAUUCGGGGGCAUCCCUAAAUGAAGAAAGCAGCCGCAAGGUUGCGCCGAUGGAGAGUCUCGCGGCCUAUCAGCUAGUUGGCGGGGUAAUGGCCCACCAAGGCAACGACGGGUAGCUGGUCUGAGAGGAUGGCCAGCCACAUUGGGACUGAGACACGGCCCAGACUCCUACGGGAGGCAGCAGUGGGGAAUCUUGCGCAAUGGCCGCAAGGCUGACGCAGCGACGCCGCGUGUGGGAUGACGGCCUUCGGGUUGUAAACCACUGUCGGGAGGAACGAAUACUCGGCUUCGAAUAGGAGCCCGAGGGUGACGGUACCUCCAAAGGAAGCACCGGCUAACUCCGUGCCAGCAGCCGCGGUAAUACGGAGGGUGCGAGCGUUGUCCGGAAUCACUGGGCGUAAAGGGCGCGGAGGUGGCCCGUUAAGUGGCUGGUGAAAUCCCGGGGCUCAACUCCGGGGCUGCCGGUCAGACUGGCGAGCUAGAGCACGGUGGGGGCAGAUGGAAUUCCCGGUGUAGCGGUGGAAUGCGUAGAUAUCGGGAAGAAUACCAGUGGCGAAGGCGUUCGGCUGGGCCGUUGCUGACACUGAGGCGCGACAG
rnacentral:rRNA from 1 species